UUUCCGUAGGUGAACCUGCGGAAGGAUCAUUAAUGAGUUGUCAUGGGGUUCGAUGCUGGCAGCCAAUUUUUGGAUGCAUGUGCUUGCCCUAACAAUCAUCUUCCAAACACCUGUGCACAUUUUUGAGGGAGUCUUGAGUUGGUUGCCGCUCUUGGGUGAUUUUCUCACAUUCCCUUAAAUCAUUAUACGCUAUUAACAAUGUUGAACGUGCUCUGUGCCGCAAGGCUAUUAAUAUAAUACAACUUUUAACAACGGAUCUCUUGGCUCUCGCAUCGAUGAGAACGCAGC
rnacentral:misc_RNA from 1 species